rnacentral:rRNA from 1 species
AUUGAACGCUGGCGGCAGGCCUAACACAUGCAAGUCGAACGAGUAGAGGACGGGUGAGUAAUGUCUGGGAAACUGGCUGAUGGAGGGGGAUAACUACGGGAAACGGUAGAUAAUACCGCAUACCAUCGGAUCUGCCCAGAUGGGAGUAGAUAGUAGGUGGGGUAACGGCUGACCUAGGCGACGAUCCCUAGCUGGUCUGAGAGGAUGACCCUCCCAGCGGGAGCGGAGACACGGUCCAGACUCGUACGGUAGGCACCAGUGGGGAAUCUUGAGCAAUGGACGAAAGCCUGAUGCAGCCAAACCGCGUGGGUGAAGAGGGCCUUCGGGUUGUAAAGCACUUUCGGCGGGGAGGGGUUAGAUGCUGAGGAAGCCCCGGCUAACUCCGUGCCAGCAGCCGCGGUAAUUC